CACGUAGGGACCAAGCGUUGUCCGGGUUUAUUGGGCGUAAAGAGCUCGUAGGCGGUUCGGUAAGUCUGGUGUGAAAACUCUGGGCUCAACCCGGAGAGGCCACCCGUUACUGCCGUGACUUGAGUCCGGUAGGGGUGCACGGAAUUCCCGGUGUAGCGGUGAAAUGCGCAGAUAUCAGGAGGAACCCCGGUGGCGAAGGCGGUGCUCUCUGCCGGUACUGACGCUGAGGAGCGAAAGCGUGGGUAGCAAACAGG
rnacentral:rRNA from 1 species